rnacentral:rRNA from 1 species
GUGGCUUAAUUUGACUCAACGCGGGAAAUCUUACCGGGUCCGGACACACUGAGGAUUGACAGGCAAUAUCUAAAUCGUUUAUAAUAUUCUAUUAUAAUACGCUUUUAGUGUUAAAUAUGCUAGUCCUUUCAUGAUUAUGUGAUAGGUGGUGCAUGGCCGUUCUUAGUUCGUGGAGUGAUCUGUCUGCUUAAUUGCGUUUCACUAAGGGCCCAUAAAUUCAAGGUAUGUUAGCUAUCGUUUCUCAAUUGACCCCUUAUCUUCGAUAAGCGCGUGUCUUUUAGAGUUUAAACAUUGCGCAUGCUGUUGGGUCCUGAAAGCAACGAACGUGACCGCAACGUCUUAUUGCCUUUAUCUUGUUAUAUUCUAAUUUAAUUAGAAAUAACUAACAGAGGCUAAUUUAAAAUUAGACGGACCGCUGUACUUUUCUUAAACCAGAGGAAGGUUGCGGCAAUAACAGGUCUG